rnacentral:tRNA from 1 species
GUCAGAAUCGCUGAGUGGUCUAAAGCGCUAGACUCAAGGUGAAUCAACCUUCUCAGGUAAUGAGAAUUCUGGUCUUCAGCUGUAGGCGUGGGUUCAAAUCCCACUUCUGACA